UACGAAGGGGGCUAGCGUUGCUCGGAAUCACUGGGCGUAAAGGGUGCGUAGGCGGGUCUUUUAAGUCAGGGGUGAAAUCCUGGAGCUCAACUCCAGAACUGCCUUUGAUACUGAAGAUCUUGAGUUCGGGAGAGGUGAGUGGAACUGCGAGUGUAGAGGUGAAAUGCGUAGAUAUCGGGAGGAACACCAGUGGCGAAGGCGACUUCCUGGCCUGUUCUUGACGCUGAGGCGCGAAAGCUAGGGGAGCAAACGGGG
rnacentral:rRNA from 1 species